CCUACGGGGGGCAGCAGUGAGGAAUAUUGGUCAAUGGACGAGAGUCUGAACCAGCCAAGUAGCGUGAAGGAUGACGGCCCUAUGGGUUGUAAACUUCUGUUAUAGGGGAAUAAAAUGUUCCACGUGUGGGAUUUUGUAUGUACCAUAUGAAUAAGGAUCGGCUAACUCCGUGCCAGCAGCCGCGGUAAUACGGAGGAUCCGAGCGUUAUCCGGAUUUAUUGGGUUUAAAGGGAGCGUAGGGGGAUUGUUAAGUCCGUUGUGAAAGUUUGCGGCUCAACCGUAAAAUUGCCUUUUAAACUGGCAGUCUUGCGUUCCGUUGCGGUUGGCGGCAUUCGUUGUGUAGCCGU
rnacentral:rRNA from 1 species